ACUGAGCGAGCCGAGGAGGAGAGGCGGUCGGGUCUGGAGAACUACCUCUGGAUGGUUUAAAAAAAACAGAGAGGAAAAAAAAAAGGGAAAAACCCAACUCUGCAAUCCUCUGCUCCCCCAGGCUCAGCACCAUAAGGGACUGCUAUAUUUGAGGCUGUCAGGAGGAUGGGAGAGAGAGACUGAGAGUCAGGGCGAGAGAGACCGUGCCACAGCAGCGAAGGCAUCUCUGGAGGAAAUUUGAAUGUCAUCAGCAGCGAAUUGAGACAUUACUGAAGGCAUCAGGAUUCUGCACCAGGAAGAAUGUUGAGGAAAGCCAUCACCAUAGUCAAAAGCCCAGACAGAUUGGAAUACAUGUCAGGAGAACCACUACAAGAAGACAAAAGGAUUAGAUGGCAUUUUUUAUGACAGAAGUACAAGGGAAUUGUGUAUGAUAUUUCAGACUACAUGGUCUGAAUUCCAUUGAAUUCUAUUUUGUGUAAUCCAGGACUCUGUAUUCUUCUUAAAAAAUUGAGCCACCAAAUUAAUUGCUAUGUUUUGCUUAAUUGUUACUGAAGGCCAAAGAUAAAGCAGAGCAUCUGGAAUGGUAUUAUGCAGCUUCAAACAAGCCCAUGAGCUCUUCUAAUUCCUGGAAAGGCAUCAUUUUAAAGGAAGGAUGAGAGGGAAAAGGCAACAACAUGGAAAAAGCAACAGAGUAACCUAA